AUGCGUAGGAGCAGGGAGGAGGAUAUCAUGCCGAGGGAGGUCAGUGAGAGGAGGAGGAGGAGGAGGGAACACAUGGCCACCGCAAGAGAUGAUUGCGGGGCAUCGCUUCCGUACGAGAUGAUCAUAGAGGUUCUGCAGUGGCUCCCAGUCAAAUCCGUCUUCCGCUUCAAGGCAGUGUGCCGCUCCUGGGCUGCGCUGCUCUCCUCCAAUGAAUUCCGCCGACUCCACAUGUCAGCAGCCAAGGCCGCAAAGCGGCGGACACCACCAGCCAAGCUGCUAUACAUCUCACCGACCGCCACAUUCGACUCCACCACGGUCUACUCGUGCCCCUUCUCGCCAUCAUCAUCAUCGUGCCGCCCCAGAGAUCACGGGGACCUACUGUUCACCAUCGACGGUGCCCGUGGAAACUAUGUGGAGAUAGUGACGCCCGCGCCGUGCAAUGGCCUCACCCUUCUCUAUGAUGCUCUCGACACAGCCUACUACAUCUGCAAUGCAGCCACACGUCUGCCGCCUUCUACCAGCGUAGUAUGCAGCUCCAGUGCUGGCCUGGGAUUUGAUGCCCUCACAGACGAGCACAAGGUGGUGAGGUUGAUGAAUGGGAUGUUUUAUCAAAAGGACUUGGACUCUGUGAGGUGUGAGGUGUACACGACUGGAGGCCCCUUCAUGGAUCGCUGCUGGAGGCCGGCUGCCAGAGGAGUACCCUCCAGCUUGCAUAAAUUUGCACGCGCCGCUGUUCGUAAUGCGUCAGUCAACUAUCUCCCGUGUUUGCCAACGGUUGCUUGCACUGAUGAGACCUUCACAUGUCUCCGGUCACCACCCUUCUGGGUACCAGGAACGCCGCCGACCUCCAGGUGUUCCUCAUCAGGAGAGCAACUAGUGGAGAUCGAUGACCAAUUAUGUUUGGUUCGCAACAGAAUUCCUCAUGGUAGUAACACUUUGGAGAUCUGGAAGCUGCUGGACUAUAGCUCUGGUGACUGGUUACUGGAUCAUCGAAUUAAUUUGUCGGGGCACCUGGCAACAAAUUUGCGCCAGUCACAAAUUCUGAGAGUUAUUGGAUCUUUUUGCAGUUACAGGUCGCCAAGGAAGAAAAUAAUCAUCACCACUAGCACACACAAGAUUUUUGAUAAGUAUCAGAAAAUGGUUCACACCUAUGACCCCAGGUCUGAGGCUCUGGAAACCAUUCUUUCGAUCACAGAGACACACUCAACUCCACAAUAUGGGUGCCCUAGUUCAAGAUUCAGUUUCGUUCAAGAGACCCUUGCUCCCGUGCAUACAACAGAUGAGGAGAUAGCCUUGUCAUCUGACCUGGCUAAGGCGACUAGAGAGGUCCUACUCCGCCUCCCAGCUAAAUCAGCCAUACAGUCCAAAUUUGUCUGCAAACAGUGGUUCAGAUUGAUUGAGAGUAAAAACUUCAUUCAGUCAUACUUUCAGCAUAAGAACAUAGACAGAAGACCUAAAGUCAUGCUUGUGGUCAAGAGCACUGGACGAUUGGGCUUCAGUUUUGCUCCAUUGAAUAAAUGCCUCCAAGAAGCUCCUAGUCACAGUACAUUGCUUGAUACAAAGGUGGUUUGCUCCAAGCCUUGUCAUGGGCUAAACUUGGUAAGCACCGAGACGAAGGACUAUCUCUGCAAUCCAUGUACAGGUUUCUACAGGGGCUACUCUAACCUGGGGCCAGAUUUGCACCGACCCUCGAGAAUGCCUAAAGCAGAAGAUCAUGCUUUUACAGUCGGCAAUAAAAAUGUUGGCUUGACUUUUGACCCUACGACUCGUCAACAUGUUAUCGUGGAAAUAUUCUAUCAUUGGAAGGACUUUAAAUCUCGUCAGUAUGACCUGACAUGUGCGUUACACUGGUGUAACUCUUGGAGUGCUGCCCAAGAGAACUCGGUACCGCCUCUGCCUGUGAAUGAUAUGCCACCAGCCUAUGUUGAAGGAAUUCUCUACUGGAUGAAUGAACCAAGGUUGGGACAGAGCUGUGAAUGGGCCAUUGUAUCUUUCAACCUUGCUACAAAUACUUUUGAUGUUGUCUCAUGCCCUUCGUGGUUUGCAAGAUGGAAUAGCAGAAACCGGUGUCAUGCGUUUGUUGUUGAGCUCGAGGGAGUAUUAUGUGCUGUUCUAGCAGAUCCAGCCGCAGACAAAUUAGAUGUAUGGAAGCUAGAGCAUGGCCAAUGGGGCAGAUCAUACACAAUUCACCUGGAAGCAUGUCCUGGCUAUUCCCUCAAGACAAGCGUUGUUGUGCCAUUAGCUGUUGACCCUGAUCAUGGGAGGAUCCUGCUCAACACUGGUAGGAAAAUAGGUCUAUAUGAUCCAGUAGAGCAAACAAUUCAAAAUCUGUAUUCACUUGAUCAGGUGCCGGCUUCCAGAAGUAAUCCACACCUGAAGUUUCUUGAUAUGCCUUCAACUUCAUCCAGGAAUAGUUCGACGAUUCCUUUUGUUCCUAUUUUAUAUGAGGAGAGCUUGGCAGGUUACUCCUUUGUGCGCAAAGCAAACUGUUUGUGGUGA
rnacentral:rRNA from 1 species